rnacentral:lncRNA from 1 species
CAUGUAUGUAGGAAAUCAUCAGAAAAAAAAAAAAAAAAAAGUGACCACUUCUGCUGCAGGAGGUGGGGAGGUGGCAGCGGCAGCGUGAGGCACUCUUUUCUCUAGUUACAUGAAACCUCCUGUGGACCCCCCAACACAGCAUUGUUUCAGAGGUCUAGAGCUUUGCACUGACUCCUCUGGCCCCUAAAAUUGCAUUUUUCACACUCCAGUCUCCUGCCAGGGCACCCUCCUACUUAGCCAGCAACAGCAGGGGGAACUUGAAGAGGUGGAGAAGAGGGGAUGAGAGAAGCACAGCAGGGAGACAGCUGUUACUUCAAUAUCUUGUUUAGUGCCAGCUCUGCCCCUUGAGAGGGGUGCAGCUGCCUGGGGAGGAACUCUUCUCUAUCUUAGGCCAUUUCCAUUGCUUAACAGUGGCCCCUAAAUUUGUAGUAGGUGUUUCAGCUGGUAGCAUAGACCCCAACUGGGAUGGAAUAGGGCUUUUGUGGGCUUACCUGGGGAAUUGCCACUUAAAGCCUUAUUAGUCAGGGACAUACAUGCGUUUUUGAACAAGUGACUUUGCAUGCAUUUUUUUUUUUUUUUUUGAGGUAUAGUUGACAUGCAGCCUACCAGUACAUACCAUGAGCAACAUAGUGACUUGAUAUUGGUAUGUACUGUGCAGUGAUCACCACUGCUAGUUAAGUCUGGUUAACACUCGUCACCAUACAUAGUUAAAAAAAAACACGUUAUAGAAAGCAGGUCAGAAGUUUGCGGUCUAGGAGUUCCCGUCGUGUCGGAUUCGUUAACCACUGCGCCACGACGGGAACUCCCUGAAAUGCACUUUUAACUGGAAAAAAAAUCCCUUAUUUUUAAAUGAUUAUCCAAGAUAAUUUAGCAUUUGAAUUGCUUAUAUAAACUGCUGAAUAUGUUUAAUCCUCAGUUAAAGUAUUCACGCAGUUGGUGGAUUAUUGCCAUAUGUAAUAAAGAGACCCUUUAACUUAGAGAUGAGAAAUUAAUGAAAACACAUCGAUCAGUUUUGUUACUUAAAAAAUAAGCCUUGGAGUUCUCGUCGUGGUGCAGUGGUUACUGAAUCCAACUAGGAACCGUGAGGUUGCGGGUUCGAUCCCUGCCCUUGCUCAGUGGGUUAAGAAUCUGGCAUUGCCGUGAGCUGUGGUGUAGGUUGCAGACGCGGCUCAGAUCCCGAGUGGCUGUGGCUCUGGCCUGGGCCAGCAGCUACAGCUCCGAUUGGACUCCUAGCCUGGGAAUCUCCAUAUGCCACAGAAGCGGCCCUAGAAAUGGCAAAAAGACAAGAAGAC